rnacentral:rRNA from 1 species
CUUGGUCAUUUAGAGGAAGUAAAAGUCGUAACAAGGUUUCCGUAGGUGAACCUGCGGAAGGAUCAUUACAGAAAGUAAACGCGGAUCAAACCGCGAACUUCUAAACCUUUGACGGUUGACUCAUGUUGCCUCGGCGGGUUCUCCCGCCAGAGGAUACAUCAAAACUCCUGUUUUAACGGUGUUGUCUGAGCUACAAGCAACGAAUCAAAACUUUCAACAACGGAUCUCUUGGUUCUGGCAUCGAUGAAGAACGCAGCGAAAUGCGAUAAGUAGUGUGAAUUGCAGAAUUCAGUGAAUCAUCGAAUCUUUGAACGCACAUUGCGCCCCUUGGUAUCCCGAGGGGCAUGCCUGUUCGAGCGUCAUUUCACCACUCAAGCCUGGCUUGGUGUUGGGCGACGUCCCCUUUAGGGACGCGCCUCGAAACGCUCGGCGGCGUGGCACCGGCUUUAAGCGUAGCAGAAUCUUUCGCUUUGAAAGUCGGGGCCCCGUCUGCCGGAAGACCUACUCGCAAGGUUGACCUCGGAUCAGGCAGGGAUACCCGCUGAACUUAAGCAUAUCAAUAAGCGGAGGA